rnacentral:rRNA from 1 species
CUGAGGAGCGAAAGCGUGGGGAGCGAACAGGAUUAGAUACCCUGGUAGUCCACGCCGUAAACGGUGGGCGCUAGUUGUGCGAACCUUCCACGGUUUGUGCGACGCAGCUAACGCAUUAAGCGCCCCGCCUGGGGAGUACGAUCGCAAGAUUAAAACUCAAAGGAAUUGACGGGGCCCCGCACAAGCAGCGGAGCAUGCGGCUUAAUUCGACGCAACGCGAAGAACCUUACCAAGGCUUGACAUAUACAGGAAUACGGCAGAGAUGUCGUAGCCGCAAGGUCUGUAUACAGGUGGUGCAUGGUUGUCGUCAGCUCGUGUCGUGAGAUGUUGGGUUAAGUCCCGCAACGAGCGCAACCCUCGUUCUGUGUUGCCAGCAUUUAGUUGGGGACUCACAGGAGACUGCCGGGGUUAACUCGGAGGAAGGUGGGGAUGACGUCAAAUCAUCAUGCCCCUUAUGUCUUGGGCUGCACGCAUGCUACAAUGGCUGGUACAAACGGCUGCAAUACCGCAAGGUGGAGCGAAUCCGAGAAAGCCAGUCUCAGUUCGGAUUGGGGUCUGCAACUCGACCCCAUGAAGUCGGAGUUGCUAGUAAUCGUAGAUCAGCAACGCUACGGUGAAUACGUUCCCGGGGCUUGUACACACCGCCCGUCACAUCACGA